rnacentral:rRNA from 1 species
UCGAGAAUUUUUCUCAAUGGGCGAAACCCUGAAGGAGCGACGCCGCGUGGAGGAUGAAGGUCUUCGGAUUGUAAACUCCUGUCAUUCGAGAACAAAGCCCGCUUAGUAACUGAUGUCGGGUUUGAUAGUAUCGGAAGAGGAAGAGACGGCUAACUCUGUGCCAGCAGCCGCGGUAAUACAGAGGUCUCAAGCGUUGUUCGGAUUCAUUGGGCGUAAAGGGUGCGCAGGCUGCAAGGCAAGUCGGACGUGAAAUCCCGGGGCUCAACCCCGGAACUGCGUUCGAUACUGCCUUGCUAGAGGACUGGAGAGGAGACUGGAAUUCCUGGUGUAGCAGUGAAAUGCGUAGAUAUCAGGAGGAACGCCAAUGGCGAAGGCAAGUCUCUGGACAGUUCCUGACGCUCAUGCACGAAGGCCAGGGGAGCAAACGGGAUUAGAUACCCCCGUAGUCC